GACGAACGCUGGCGGCGUGCUUAACACAUGCUAGUCGAACGAAGUGGCGAACGGGUGAGUAACGCGUAAUCAACCUGCCCUUCAGAGGGGGACAACAGUUGGAAACGACUGCUAAUACCGCAUACUGAAGGAUGGGGUUGCGUCAGAUGGGCGGGUUGGAGGGGUAACGGCCCACCAAGGCGAUGAACAGUAGCCGGGCUGAGAGGCGGAACGGCAAGAUGGGGACUGAUACACGGCCCAGACUCCGAAGGGAGGCAGCAGGGGGGAAUCUUCCGAAAGGGACGAAAGUCUGACGGAGCAACGCCGCGUGAGUGAUGACGGCCUUCGGGUUGUAAAGCUCUGUUAAUCGGGACGCGGUACCGGAAUAGAAAGCCACGGCUAACUACGUGCCAGCCGCCGCGGUAAUAC
rnacentral:rRNA from 1 species